ACCAAUCAGCAGGCUGAAUGGAGCGCGCGACUUCCGCCUUUCUUCUCGACGAGUCGCGCGAGGGGGAGUCGCCUCGCCACGGCGGUUGCGCUGGGAGCUCAGCGUGGCUCCGCCCCUGCGGUUCUCUGCGUGUUUUACCCGUGGCGGGGCGUGGGUCGGGGCGGCCUCGGCCGGUUGGGCUCUGCUUUAGGGAUCCAGAAAAGCUCUGUGCGUGGUCUGCAGUGGUUCAGAGCUGGUAACGUGCCGCAUUACACGUGGCCAUAAAGUACGUAUGUUGGUUACGCGUUAUUUCUUUGCUAAGAAGCUCUCGUGUAAUCUAAGAAUUCAGAUACCAGAGGAUAUCCAGACACCGGGCUGCUUACUGCUUAUGUACAGAGAUGAAAAUAAAAAGUGCACAGAUGUACAGGGCGGCUUCGAGUCAACCAAGUCUCUCACUGUAAAGUCAUAGGCAGAAGAUGGCACAGAGUUCUUCAGAAUGUUAUCCCAGGAGUAUUUUAUGGACCAAGAAAGUGGACAUACCAACAGGAGACUGCCUUUUCUCAGGUGAAUACAUCCAGGCUUUGCUGUGAUUAUACAGCUGAUGGGUGUAUAAUGGAUUUAGCAUAAUCACCAGGCAUAGCACUCCCACUGAGGUCACCUUUUAAUGGCAGGUGACUGCUGAACACAGACUGAAGGUGACAAGAAUAAUGUUUUACUGUUUAAAUAUUAAAAGUGGGGAUUUAACACAAGACAAAAAUUAACAGAGUUUAAAAAAAAAAAAAGAGCUGAUAUGUGCCAAUGAUGAGAUCUGAAAUAAUUCAUGAAUGCACCUGAAUGUGUAUUCAUAAUGUAACUGUAACUUUAGAGCUUAUGCAGCAUGUAAUUUUGUCAAAAGUUCAGUAUUUGUAGAUGAGAAGGCAGAGCAGACAAAUCUUUCUUGAUGCAUCUUUGUGAUGCUGUCCUCUACUCACAGUAAGAAAAUAAAACUAAUUCCUUAAAAAAAAGUCCUUGUUAUUUAACAACUGCAUCGCUUUGUGACUGACUUUAUCUCUAAUCUUAUAAAGUUUCUCAAGUACGCUGUACAGGGAAGAAAAAAUAAUUGCACAGAAGGAAAAUUACCAUAGAAAGAAAAGCCAGUAUCAACGUGAUUUCCAACAGAUUAUAAGAGCCAUUACCCCUUCACUGCAUUCUUUAUGCCUUAACUCCAUAAGGUUAUUGCCUAUUUUCCUAUGAAAUAACACUGUCAAGAAACAUGGAAUUAUGGUUACUAUUGUAUAAAAUAUACAGAUCAGUAGUCAUACUUCCUACCUUUGAUAGCUGUGGAUUUAUCUCCUUUCUCUGCUUGUGUAAGCCGUAUUGGGCUAUGCUGCUAAUGCUCUGCUGUUCUCUCUGCUGAUGACCCUAAUCUGCUCCACAGCUACUGGAAAUCAUGGCAUGCUGAUGACAAUAAAGGUCAUCUCCUAUUAAAUCUCCUCUUUGUCUAAGCACAGCACUAAGCACAGAGCACCAGCAGAAAACAUGCUCCAAAAUCAGCUCUAAUCUUAAAAUAAAGUUGCACUUCUGUGUUGUUUUCUAUUCCAUUUUGAAGAUUAUUUGAUGAAACAGAUGAGGAAACUUAUUUUUAAGUUUUGGACAUCUGGAUUCAAGUAGAAAAUAUUUUGCAGGGUCUGCCAUGUCUUAGCUGCCCAUCUGGGAAUAAAUAGUCUUUGGAGGAACCCAGGAUCUGCAGAGAACAAUUCAGGUACAUUCAAGGUCUAAGAAUAUUGUGCAUGAUUUUGUACAUGUUUUGAUGUGCUUAAUAGCUUUUUCUCAAAUGUUACGAUAAAAUAGCAUGAUAACCUAAAACUUUCUGUCUUCAGUCUGUUACAGUGUUGAAUAAAACUUUAAAAAGCAUGGAGGUGGCAGCAAGAGCUGGGGCACUUUUUCAAAAGUUUUAAGUCUUACAGGUGCUUGUGUUUCUUUGAAAGGCUAGGUUCACUUAGGAUCCUGCUGUAGGGAACCUGGACUCUAUGAUCUCUGGAGGUCCCUUCUACCCCCUUUGAUUGUGUGAUCCUAGUUAAAUAACCACCAUUAUUGUACUUCACUUUACAGACUAGUAUAACAUCAUCUAUGCAAUACCACCCUACUCCAUCCCCUUUCCCCCUCCUCCCUUUCCUUCUGCUCUCCCUGUCUAGAAGAAAUAAGGGGAAAUUGUGUAGCUUGCUGAAUGUCUCUCAAAACUGAGGAUUAAAAAGAGAGAAAAUAAACCUGGAUGGAAUAUCAGGCUAAGAAAGUUAAAUGCUUUUACUACUUCAGCCAGAUAAUUCAAAAUACAAGGUGACUGUACAGUAUGACUCAGUCCCAAGUGCAGGUUCUGACACACAGUUUCUAUAGCAGCAGUGCUGAGUCAGGGCCUGAAGCAGUGAUGGAGCACCUGGUGGGAAGGCAGGGCC